rnacentral:tRNA from 1 species
GGGGAUUUAGCUCAGUGGUGUGAGUGCCUGCCUGGCAAGCACAAGGUCAAGAGUUCAAUCCCCA